rnacentral:rRNA from 1 species
AUUGAACGCUGGCGGCAGGCCUAACACAUGCAAGUCGAGCGGAGCGGCGGACGGGUGAGUAAUGCCUAGGAAUCUGCCUGGUAGUGGGGGAUAACGUCCGGAAACGGGCGCUAAUACCGCAUACUCUCAGAUGAGCCUAGGUCGGAUGAGCUAGCUUGUGGGGUAAAGGCCUACCAAGGCGACGAUCCGUAACUGGUCUGAGAGGAUGAUCAGUCACACUGCAACGGAUACUCUGCCCAGUCUCCUACGGGAGGCAGCAGUCGGGAAUAUUGGACAAUUGGCGAAAUCCUGAUCCAGCCAUGCCGCGUGUGUGAAGAAGGUCUUCGGAUUGUAAAGCACUUUAAGUUGUGAGGCGUUACCAACAGAAUAAGCACCGGCUAACUUCGUGCCAGCAGCCGCGGUAAUUC